rnacentral:rRNA from 1 species
CAGGCCUAACACAUGCAAGUCGAGCGGACUUAUCCUUCGGGAUAGGUUAGCGGCGGACGGGUGAGUAACACGUAGGCAACCUGCCUGUAAGAUCGGGAUAACUACCGGAAACGGUAGCUAAGACCGGAUAGCUGGUUUCUCCGCAUGGGGGAAUCAUGAAACACGGGGCAACCUGUGGCUUACGGAUGGGCCUGCGGCGCAUUAGCUAGUUGGUGGGGUAACGGCCCACCAAGGCGACGAUGCGUAGCCGACCUGAGAGGGUGAUCGGCCACACUGGGACUGAGACACGGCCCGGACUCCUACGGGAGGCAGCAGUAGGGAAUCUUCCGCAAUGGGCGCAAGCCUGACGGAGCAACGCCGCGUGAGUGAUGAAGGUUUUCGGAUCGUAAAGCUCUGUUGCCAAGGAAGAACGCCUCGGAGAGUAACUGCUCUGAGGGUGACGGUACUUGAGAAGAAAGCCCCGGCUAACUACGUGCCAGCAGCCGCGGUAAUACGUAGGGGGCAAGCGUUGUCCGGAAUUAUUGGGCGUAAAGCGCGCGCAGGCGGUCUUUUAAGUUUGGUGUUUAAGCCCGGGGCUCAACCCCGGUUCGCACUGAAAACUGGGAGACUUGAGCGCAGGAGAGGAAAGCGGAAUUCCACGUGUAGCGGUGAAAUGCGUAGAGAUGUGGAGGAACACCAGUGGCGAAGGCGGCUUUCUGGACUGUAACUGACGCUGAGGCGCGAAAGCGUGGGGAGCAAACAGGAUUAGAU